rnacentral:rRNA from 1 species
GAUGAACGCUGGCGGCGUGCCUAAUACAUGCAAGUCGAGCGAACAGACGAGGAGCUUGCUCCUCUGACGUUAGCGGCGGACGGGUGAGUAACACGUGGAUAACCUACCUAUAAGACUGGGAUAACUUCGGGAAACCGGAGCUAAUACCGGAUAACAUAUUGAACCGCAUGGUUCAAUAGUGAAAGACGGUUUUGCUGUCACUUAUAGAUGGAUCCGCGCCGCAUUAGCUAGUUGGUAAGGUAACGGCUUACCAAGGCAACGAUGCGUAGCCGACCUGAGAGGGUGAUCGGCCACACUGGAGCUGAGACGCGGUCCAGACUCCGACGGGAGGCAGCAGUAGGGAAUCUUCCGCAAUGGGCGAAAGCCUGACGGAGCAGCGCCGCGUGGAUGAUGAAGGUCUUCGGGUCGUAAAACUCUGUUAUUAGUGAAAACAAAUGUGUAAGUAACUAUGCACGUCUUGACGGUACCUGGUCAAAAAGCCACGGCUAACUACGUG